CCGUGGCGCAGAGGACUGUGCGUCAGUCAGCCUUCUACUGCUGGUGAAGACCGAGUUCAAAUCUGACCAGAAAUUUUAGGUUUUAUUCGAUCACCGUUCUUUCGGUAGGAGCAAACAACAAACUACUGAAAUCCUCGAAGUAAAGACGAUUUCUGGUUACUUUCGCGUGAGUUUAUCCAAGACGAAGAGGCACGAAGAUCCUGUCCGGAGCCUGAAGUCCCCGGGCUAGCUGCGGAUCGUCCGACCAAUCUGAGCUAAUUGGCCUCCAUAGCUAUACAGAAACGGUAUAAACUGAUGGAAGAGGGACAACUCUGUGCGAGAAGAGAUGAGACGUAUCAGGCUGAGAGACAGAGGUGGAGGAAGAACAUCUAGCUGUUCGAGAAUGAAUAGACGCAGAAUCAGAGUGAUAGACAGAGAAGAAAGACACGGGGAAACAGAGAGAUCGCCGCCAGGUACACAAAUUAUCUGGCGACGAAAAAACAACGGAAGAGCAAUUAAAUAAUGCCGCGUCGCCACAUAGUAGCAUUCCCUACCGUCCUUUUCUUCUACUGGGUGUCCCAAAAAUCUCUAUUAUAUUUUUGCAGACAUUCGUUAAUAUAAUGCGUCAAAUAAUUUAAAUA